GACCGGUUGGUGUAGUGGUAUCACGUUUGUCUCACAGCGCCUGGCGCUCACAAAAAGGUCGCCGGUUCGAACCCGGCAUCGGUUCA